GCUGAUUUAAAGAGCACCAAUUAUGCUAAUAAAUUGGCACGUUAGCACGUUAUUGCAGUAUCCCAUAGUACAUACAUGUUAUUAAAACUUGAACUAAUGCAUUGUGAGUCUUAUAAAUUGCUUACAUACCUCACCGAUUUCCCACUGUCUGGAAAACGCUCGGUUUAGUUCCUGUCUCCGCCUCCCAAAAUGUCUAGUGUAAUCGGAUUGGUCAGAUGACUACUCAACUGUUAUUGGUCACCUGGGUUCGGCGUGUGUUUGAAAGGUUACGCCCCUGACUACGCGUGGGUUGACACCGGUUCUGACUGAGAGUCACAGCCUCAGAGGCAACGUAAACAAGCGUUAUAUUUCUCUAUAAACGAUGGUGUCUGUACUGCCUUACCACUUCGAGCUCGAUCCAGAGAGUUCAGAAGGCCGUUACGAUAUAAACGAUCUCCGUCAAUGAAUGCGAUUGGAUUUAACUUUUUUAGGUGUCCUUAGCUCUGCCAGAAUGCUAAACGAAGAAGAAAAUGUGUGGCAAAGACAUCCAAAAGGUUUUAAGGAGAAUGCAACAGGUUCCAGGGCCUCUUACCUGCGUGAUUCAUCAUCCAGGUUUUGCACAAAUUGUCUAAAUCCCUACACACAGAACAUUUAUUGUACCGACUAUAAGCCUUUGAGGCGCAGGACUAGAAUAUGCUUGGAGCUUCCUGAUCGGAAUGUUGGCUUCCGACGACCCCUGCACUGAAGAUGGCAUGCAAUCACGUCCUCCUUUGAAGGUCUCUCAAACUGGG